UGCAAGUCGAGCGGUAAGGCCCUUUCGGGGGUACACGAGCGGCGAACGGGUGAGUAACACGUGGGUGACCUGCCUUCAGCUCUGGGAUAAGCCUGGGAAACUGGGUCUAAUACCGGAUAUGACUCCAUGAUGCAUGUUGUGGGGUGGAAAGCUUUUGCGGCUGGAGAUGGGCCCGCGGCCUAUCAGCUUGUUGGUGGGGUGAUGGCCUACCAAGGCGACGACGGGUAGCCGGCCUGAGAGGGCGACCGGCCACACUGGGACUGAGACACGGCCCAGACUCCUACGGGAGGCAGCAGUGGGGAAUAUUGGACAAUGGGGGAAACCCUGAUCCAGCGACGCCGCGUGGGUGAUGAAGGCCUUCGGGUCGUAAAGCCCUGUCUGGGGGGACGAAUCCCCCGCUGGUGAACAACCGGCGGGAAUGACGGUACCCCCGAAGGAAGCACCGGCUAACUCUGUGCCAGCAGCCGCGGUAAGACAGAGGGUGCUAGCGUUGUUCGGAAUUACUGGGCGUAAAGGGCGCGUAGGCGGUCUGUUAAGUUCGGUGUGAAAGCCCUCGGCUCAACCGAGGAAGUGCGCCGGAUACUGGCAGACUUGAGUACCGGAGAGGAGGGUGGAAUUCCUGGUGUAGCGGUGAAAUGCGUAGAUAUCAGGAGGAACACCGGUGGCGAAGGCGGCCCUCUGGACGAGUACUGACGCUGAGGCGCGAAAGCGUGGGGAUCAAACAGGAUUAGAUACCCUGGUAGUCCACGCUGUAAACGGUGGGGACUAGGUGUGGGGGGGUAUUGACCCCUCCCGUGCCGACGCUAACGCAUUAAGUCCCCCGCCUGGGGAUUACGGCCGCAAGGUUAAAACUCAAAUGAAUUGACGGG
rnacentral:rRNA from 1 species